UCCAUCUCCAGGGCCAGGCAAACGGAGACACUCCGUGAAUAAAGAUGAACCGACUUAUUUACUAAACAAGGAACAUUGAUGCCUCCUGGAAUCAAGAUCCACGCCCUGACCAGCCUUCCUCGGCCACUCCCCUUCCUGCCUCUGCGCAUGAUGGAGGGCCGAUCUGCCCACUCUCUGAUGCCCUCAUUGGCUAUAGGAACUAUUGGAAUCUAGACUGCAAGACUCCAAUCAGUUUAACAGUUGAGACGAUAGACAGGGAGCCAGCCAGAAACAUUUCUUAAAUCUCCGCCUUUGCCUCUUUCAAACUGUAUGCCCUAGGUGGUAUGGCAGAGUUCCAGGCCCAGCGGCUGCUCCCUGCACCUGCCCCCUCCACAUCCAAUUUCUUUGCAAUGGCCUAAAAAGCUAACCAAGCUGAAAUAGCUCAUUCCAAGGCUCUCAAACUCCGGCACCAUUAUUCAGUGUUUGCAGAGGCCUAGCCUCAUCCCUGCCACUCACCAUUUCCCAUCUGUUGGGAGCACUUGGCUGUGGUAUCUUCGAUGCUCACCGUCCCGUUGGGCUUGAGGAUAAGAGCCCCAGCCUAGGAUGAGGUGCCACCCAUAGUGGGCCGGUCUUCCCACUUCUUUCAGCACAAUCAGGAAAAUACCCACAGGUGUGCCCAGAGCUCCAGCUCCAAGUUGACAAUGACCACCAAGCAAGCACAAGACUCCAGCUAAUUUGUCAGCGCAUUAGGAUGCAAGAAGACACUUUACUCUCAGCAGAUGUCACACCAUGCUCUUGGACUACCCAGCUUUUCAAACCAUGAGCUUAAUAAAUCUCUACUCUCUAUCAGUUACGAAAACACCAGAUAAGUCCAGGUGGAGAGAAAGUCUACUUCCUGCGAAAUCGUGCAAUGACAUAACAAAGAACUUUGAGGAUCCUAAUGCAAGGGUCCUUGCUGUAGUGAGCCAAGCUAUGGGUGAGAGGAGUCUGCAUCUAUGAUAUUGAAGACCAGCCAGCCACCAGCUUCUGCUUUGAGAUAUAUCAACAGAGAACCUAAAGCUCUACUCAGUUCCCUAAAGAUGGACUUGGAGUCAUGUGGUUCCUUUAUCUGUUCCCCUUCCCAAUAUAAAUAUGGAUCAAAAGACCUCUCUCUGCUUUUUAUAUCAGUAUUCACCCUCUUAACUGGUUUGUUGGGACAGGAGGCUGAGCUCAACCUGCUGGGGCUUUUGCCCUAAAACUUUGUUAACACCUCUAUAAUGCUUAGCAGAGCAUGUGAACCUACAGUAGUCUCACUGCAAACAUGGAAUGGAUGGAUGUGUAGGUGUGUGGGUGGAUGCUGAAGACCAGGGCCUUGGAUAAGGAUGAGCCGAAGAAGUAAACUGCUGCAGUAUGCUUCCUGCACGGCUCCACGGAGCAUGAAAGAGUCUUGAUCUUCAAAGAGUUCCUGAUCUAUGGUGGAAACACAUUUAAAUACCUAACUGUUAUCUAGUGUGAUAAAAACCUGCUAUUGACAAACGAAGAUAGAAGAGUGAGCAGCUGUCAACAGAGGGAGGUGACCUUACAAAUGUCAUGCAAGAAUACUUGAAUGAAGUCUUACUGGGAUUCUGGUUUUUGAAUGAGACAGAGAUGUGGGGGAGGAAGAAGAACAAAUGUUCCACAGCAAAAGAGAGGGAAUGGGCCAGAGUGUGGGGACUUGAAAAGGACACAGAAAAGCAUGAUUCUGGAGUGUUGGAGAAGAUGAGAAAGAAGCAGGAGAUGAGCCAGAUGAUGGGAGUCAGGAUCAUCUCGGGUGCCAUGUUGGAUGGACUGGACACCAUCCUAGAGUCUGGGACAUUCAAGGGAGCAGGGAGAGUCACAGAGUGCUUUUCAAAGAUAUCGUCGUCCUCCGAGCACAGUGGAGACCACAGGCUUUGAAGUCACUGGCUUAUUUCAGCAUCAGAGUCCGUCUCCUGGAGUGGACAGAGAGGGGUUUGGGGCUCUGCACACUGUUGAUGAACUGCUGUGGUCUGAGGGGUGGGGGGCGUUCCCCUAUCCCACCGCUCAGGGCUGCAGGGGAAAAUUAAGCUCAGAGGGAAGGUACAUGCCACUUGGAAUUACGCCCACCACUGAGUGUACAGUGUUGGGAUGAACUACUGUUCUCACAUAACAGAGCCAUCUCUACUCAGAAUAUCCCCCAACAUCGAGAGAUCCUUUCUUCUUACAGUAAUUCCCCAGGACCAUUCAUGGGCAGAUGGGAGCAGAUUCUAGAACUGGAUGGGUGUGCCAGAAGCAGACAGAAUUUCCUGGACAGAGCAGGAACCACCAGUCUCUUGGACUUUAUUCAGUUUUCUGGUUCCAAGAUGAACUAUCAUGGGGUUCAAGAUGAGAAGAGGGGCUGGAGAUGGGGGUCAGGAUCUCUGGGAGCAAACCUUGCGGAAGAGACAAGAGUAGAGCCCUUGUACCUUGGAGACUCACUCCCACCGGAAGUCCUGCCCAACAGUUUCAUAAAAUUGACGAAGUGGAUCUGGGCCAGUGGGAAGUACCGCAGCCAGCUUUCCAGGUGCAGUGCAUACAUGCCAAUGCGGAUAGCGUUCCAAGACACGUCCACCAGGCCUAGACUGCGGUUGCGGAAGGACAGGCCCUCGAAGGACAAGAAAGACCACCUUACAGGAGGGAGGGAGGAAGGAAUUAUGUUAGCUCAUGAUUCCAGAAGAUUCAGUUUGUGAUCAGCUGGUUCCACUAUUCCUGAGCCUGUGUUGAGGCAGAAGCAUCAUGCUGUGGGAGUACAGACAGGGCCCUGUGUAAGCCCUGCUGGCCCCAGACUCAUUACACAGUGAUGGCGCACCACAAGUUUUUCAAGGCCUGGGAUCAAACCGGUCUGCUCAUGAGAACAAAAGAAAAGCACUGAAAAGCAUUCAACAGCUUGAAAAACAUCACAUCCCACCCUCCAAAGAGCACCCUGCAAAGGACAACAGCUGCCCAAGUGACCGGGUGGCAGAGCUAGAGACUACAGAAGUUGUGCAAAAAAGGACAGUAAUUGGGGUUAAACUGUACAGAGGCCGGAGUUCGGGAUGUCAGAGGUGUGUAGUCCAAGAGCGAAAACCGCAAUGGUUUGGGGCAAAUGAUGCUUGAGAUAGGCAUCUACAUUGGAUCAGAACCUGCCUAGCUUCAUAGGGGAUAAAAAUGAUGGUGCCCUUUGGCUCUCUUUCUAACCUUCCUUAACAUCUAUCGAGACCAAGUAUGACAGCCAAUCUUGGUUUUCAACAUGAUUAAACCUGAAAUCAAAUGAAACCCAAGCAACUGGACAAGUCUGUGAAGGAUUGUGCUGAGUGGGUCAUUUGAGGCUGGAAGGUUCACCCUAAAUCUGAGCCACACCUUCUGAUGGCAGCGCAUAGAAAAAGACAAGGGGGAAGGAAGCAUCUGUCUUUGCCUACUUGUUUUCACUAUGGCUGGCAAGUUCAUCUGCUCUGUUUCAGUCAUUCCUUUGGUGGUGUUUGAGACCACUGCUUUGGGAUUCUAACAUAGACUGAAGACUGGUUGCUCUCUAGGACACUCCUGGGACUCCAGGAACAGAUCCGGAUUGCUAAGAUAUCCAGUCUCAUGAACUGAACAACACCCAGACCCAAACCUUGGCAUUCCUGGAGGACUUGGGCUGCAACCUGUAAGCCACUCUAAUAAAGAAUAUUUAUAU
rnacentral:lncRNA from 1 species